rnacentral:lncRNA from 1 species
UCCCACUGAAAGAAAACACCGUUGAAAUAAUUGCUAGAAAAAAGAUAUUGCAUAGGUACAUUGAUUGAAGGGAUUGAAUGAAAAGAUGAAUCUUCUUAGAUUUCUUCACCACUCCGGAUGGAAUAGAGAGAGGUAAAAACACAAGAGAGUCUUGAAUGAGAAUUUCCGACAAGGGAAAGCAUUUACAAAUGAAAAGAUAUGAUGAGCAUCAAAAGGUUGAAUUGAAUCCACCGGAGCUGAAAACAAGAAUGAAGAAAGAUGAACUCAACACUCAUGAGAAUCUUCACAAUGAAUCACCGGAUAUAAUAUGGAAGAAAAGAAAACAAAAACA